GUAUCUCUUCAGGGCGGGGUGUAAUUCCCCACCGGCGGUAAUCUCAUAAGAGUCAGCCCGCGAGCUUCAUACAUCGGUAUUUAGCAGAUUUGGUGAAAACCCAAAGCCGACGGUUAUAGUCCGGAUGAAAGAAGAUGACG
rnacentral:ncRNA from 2 species